CGCGAGCAUCGACAGCGGGAGCCCAGAUGACCGCAACAGGGAGGCCAGUGACGGUGCCGAAGCAACCAAGAGCUCGAAUGCAACGAUCGUCGCAACACUUGCGCAGGUGAAGGGCAUCGCGAACCAAAAGAGCGCGGAACUAAUGGCAUCUCAACCGCGAGUUUUCUGCCCAAUAUCGGAGCCGAUGUCAUCAUACUGUGCCAUGAAUGCCUAUCCUUCUCCAGCGCCUUACUACUACCACUACGACAUGCCGGCUCCACCGUCAGCUGCCCCAUUCCACGACUGCUACUGCAGCGAUGAUAACUACGUCGGCUGUCGGAUCAUGUGAGGCUUCCCGCACCAGUACGAGAAAGGUGGCUUAAUGACUCUCGAGGCCUAGAAAUGCCUAUUCCUUGUCACGUUCUUUACUAUUAUUCUUGUGGCUUCCCUUGUUUCGCUAUAGAAGGAAGUUUGCAGUAAAGAUAUAGGAAUCUGCUCCCACCCGAGCUUGAGAAAACUAGUGAAGUGAAAGGAGGAGAGAUUAAGCACUUUGGAAGAUGCUUUGAAUUAGUUUAAGCUCGCGUUUGAUAGCUGAAGCCUUGUCGGGGACUGAUGGAAUAAAGCAGGCGAGCUAUUAGCCACACAAAUCCAG
rnacentral:lncRNA from 1 species